rnacentral:lncRNA from 10 species
GUGCAAGACACUGUUCUGGACACAGGAGAUGCAGGUGUGAACAAGACAGACAAGGUCUCUGCCCUUAUGGAGCUGGUGCUCCCAUGGAGAAGAGAGAUUAAAAACAAGCCAACCAAUGCAUCAGAUUAUCUCAUGGGACUAAGAACUCGGAAAGACACAGGGCGGAGCACCACAAGGGAUCUGUCAGUGGCCCAUCCCCAGGAGGGACUUCCAUGUGACAAGCCCGGCCUCUGACCCACUCCUCCACUGCAAGGAAAUGAUCCCCACUCCAAUGCGUCACAGAGCAGCCCAUCGCAUGGGUCAUUCCGCAGAAGAACUACCUUCUGGACCCUUCCUUCUGCCACCAUAUGCCAUUCUGCUAUUUGCAGAGAGUCUCACUGAUAGUUUGUCAGCCUUGCAUCCCAUCUGCCCCAUGUGGGUCCUGUGAAGCUGCUGGUCAACCUAUCCCCUGGCUUUGGGGGAAUGCAACCCAUGUCUGGCCAACUGUGGUGCCCCAUUUCCCAGUCUAGAGUUGUUGGUCCAAGAGGAGGCUCUCUCUUACUCUGAAAUCAUGAGCUGAGGGUUUACUGUGUAUGCCUGAAGCUAUCAGACAAUGAAGAAAGAAGAGAGAGAAAGAGAGAGAUUUGAGCACCUGGGUCCAGCUAUGACUGAAGCUAGCAAGACACCCAUCUUUGUUCUCUGAAAUUAUGUAAGAAAGUAAACUCCCUUUUUGGAAUUUUGCUUGUUUACUUUUGCUUAAGUUAACUUGAGCUGGAAUUUCAUCAUCACAAUUAAAAACAUCCUAACAACUUAUCCCUUGAAAAUCAUGUGCUUUGCGCCCAGCCAGCCGCCCCGUCAGGGAGGGAGGUGGGGGGGUCAGCCCCCCGCCAGGCCA